AUUGAACGCUGGCAGCAUGCUUUACACAUGCAAGUCGAACGGUAACAGGCCGCAAGGUGCUGACGAGUGGCGAACGGGUGAGUAAUGCAUCGGAACGUGCCCAGUCGUGGGGGAUAACUACUCGAAAGAGUAGCUAAUACCGCAUACGAUCUAUGGAUGAAAGCGGGGGACCGUAAGGCCUCGCGCGAUUGGAGCGGCCGAUGUCAGAUUAGGUAGUUGGUGGGGUAAAGGCUCACCAAGCCAACGAUCUGUAGCUGGUCUGAGAGGACGACCAGCCACACUGGGACUGAGACACGGCCCAGACUCCUACGGGAGGCAGCAGUGGGGAAUUUUGAACAAUGGGCGCAAGCCUGAUCCAGCAAUGCCGCGUGCAGGAAGAAGGCCUUCGGGUUGUAAACUGCUUUUGUACGGAACGAAACGGCUCUGGUUAAUACCCGGGGCUAAUGACGGUACCGUGAGAAUAAGCACCGGCUAACUACGUG
rnacentral:rRNA from 1 species